AAGAUUUUAAGUUAUUAGUAAACUUUUAACCUUCAAAGUUAACUAAACUUAGUCAAAGAGUAAAUCUUA
rnacentral:tRNA from 1 species